rnacentral:lncRNA from 1 species
AAAAAAUACUCAUUUUUCAAUCCAUGUAAAAAUACCUCUCAUGAACUUCAAAAUUGCCUCAUAAUAGACCUUUCAUGCUCUCAUAUCUCUAGUAUCAUAGCAAGCUCAAAUAAUUGAAUCAUUUAUUUUUAAAAAAUAUAAUUCAAUUCUAUUUUUUCAUAUAAUAUCUUAAUUAGAUAGAUAUAUCCUUCCUAUCAAAUUAGACAAUUUUAUUAACCAUUGCUUACAAUGCUUUGGUUGCUAAAGCCUCUUUGGAAUCAUUGCCUUGUUACUCUUAUAUAAAUAAUGUAAAUGCUUGAAUUAUUUUUGCACUGUUUGGAUCAAAAUACA